UACGUAGGGGGCAAGCGUUGUCCGGAAUUAUUGGGCGUAAAGCGCGCGCAGGCGGUCUUUUAAGUCUGGUGUUUAAGUGCGGGGCUCAACCCCGUGACGCACUGGAAACUGGGAGGCUUGAGUGCAGAAGAGGAGAGCGGAAUUCCACGUGUAGCGGUGAUAUGCGUAGAGAUGUGGAGGAACACCAGUGGCGAAGGCGGCUUUCUGGUCUGUAACUGACGCUGAGGCGCGAAAGCGUGGGGAGCAAACAGG
rnacentral:rRNA from 1 species